AUUUAUGAUAACCAAGGUUACAUUACCAAUAUGUGAUUGGAACGGUAUAAAAACACAAGCCGCUGGCAUCUAGUGUUAUCGUUAUAUUUUCAUGUUUUUGAAAACGAUAUUACUGACGGUAUGCGGAUAGAUAAACCAUGAUAAAAAUAAUUAGGUGAAGAAAACAUUUUUCUUGAAUACAGAUCACAAAGUUACAUUUUAUUCCAGGGAGUUUGAAAAACGAGUGGAAAAUAUGGUUACACGAUGACUUAAAACCGGUUAUAUACCUUUAACAUAUUGCAAGCCAAGACACUGCACAUACGUAAAUUGGAUAUUAAACAUGGCGAACGAAAGCGUCAUUGACAUUUUACGGCACAUGCGCAAUGACAGUUUUGAAAUCGCAACAGCAGAUCCGUCAAUUUUAAAAGCAGCUGCAGAUGUGGAUAAAAUUAUCUCACCAAUAUUGUAUGUGUUUGGUUUUCCCGGAAAUGUAUUGGCAAUUAUCGUCUGGUUACAGCCGCGCAUGCGCCACUCUUCUGGAACAUACCUUGCAGCUCUAGGGUUCGUUGACCUGAUGUUUAUGGUGAUACAUGUCAUGUUUGAAAUAUACAAAGUAUGGGGCGUCCAAAUGUUUGAUGCACCCGGGAUCUGUGAGCUACUUCCCAUUGUCUAUAUGGCGACACAAUAUUUAUCUCCAUUGCUUGUACUUGGUUUUACAGUCGAACGGUUCAUAGGAGUGCAAUUUCCUUCGAAAAGACAAAUAUAUUGCACAAUAUCUCGUGCCAGAAUAGCAAGUUGUGCUUUGGCGUUGGUUGCUCUUGGCAUAGGAUCCAUGCAGGGGUACAUUUAUAAGUACAAUUCUGAGCAUGAUUUCUGUGGCAUAAGGGAGUCCGCAGUGAGAGGUGGACAUUCGUCCUCUCUGGUCUAUAUGGACAUGGAUAACAGAGAUGCUGGUGUUUAUGUGUGUACCAUUGCUGAUUCUUUUGUUCAACGUACUGAUAAUCAGACAAAUUAGGCGGUUGGCAGAAGUCGAAAAGAGCUACGGUGCUAAAGCGCAGACGACAACAUUUUCACUGUUGGUGGUUUCUUUUUACUUCAUUGUGACGACGUUUCCAGUGUCGAUCGUUUAUGCGAUCAGAUAUUAUUAUGUACCGUCUGAUGGAACAGGUCGCUGCUGUCCCGCAACAAGAAGCAAAAUACAUGCUUGCGAAGACCAUUAUAGAGGAAAUUGGUACCACACACCACGCCUGUAAAUUCUACAUUUUCUUGAUAACAGAACAAGCUUUCCGGCGGGAAUUUUUACGCGUAGUUGCAAAAGUGUUACCAAUAUCACGAGAUAAAAUGGGAUACGAACAACAAACGGAAGUAACCGCACACACAGAAUGGAACGAAGCAGAUAUGGGCGAGGCUGGUGACCCGGAUGAAACGGACAUGUAGCUAAAAUGCUAACUCACAGUACUUUGUAAAUAUUCUAAUAUCUUUAUAUACCUAUUAUUUGAUAACAAAAUACAAAUCUAAUAUAAUUCGAAUCCGGUGUAGAAUUCGGUAUGGCAACUCCUGAUUUUGACAAGCAUGUUUGUUUUUGCUUUGCCAUUAUUCCAAUUCUUGACUGAUCUCACGUUUCACUUCUAUAACUGUUGGUUUCAAGUAAGUGAAAUACAGCUUUGUUUUUAUGGAUAGUAAUAAUAUUGGACUGAGAUGUUCUAUGAUAAUCAAUUAAUUCAGUAACGCGAACUAAUAGAGAAUACUUGCAGGCGAGAUAAUAUAAACACAAGGAGCCUGUUGUUUUGAAACACAGGAUCGCAGUGCAUUGCUUUUAAUGUUAUGCUGUAAUUGUAAAGGUAUAACUGUUUGCGUGACUUGCUGUAGUUAUGAUAGUGUUUAAUCAAAAGAAUAUAAUGUAAUAAUAAUUUGAUAAAAAAUAAAUAUUAAUACAUUUUA
rnacentral:lncRNA from 1 species